AUUGAACGCUGGCGGCAUGCUUUACACAUGCAAGUCGAACGGUAACAGGCCGCAAGGUGCUGACGAGUGGCGAACGGGUGAGUAAUGCAUCGGAACGUGCCCAGUCGUGGGGGAUAACUACUCGAAAGAGUAGCUAAUACCGCAUACGAUCUAUGGAUGAAAGCGGGGGACCGUAAGGCCUCGCGCGAUUGUAGCUGCCGAUGUCAGAUUAGGUAGUUGGUGGGGUAAAGGCUCACCAAGCCAACGAUCUGUAGCUGGUCUGAGAGGACGACCAGCCACACUGGAACUGAGACACGGUCCAGACUCCUACGGGAGGCAGCAGUGGGGAAUUUUGGACAAUGGGCGCAAGCCUGAUCCAGCAAUGCCGCGUGCAGGAAGAAGGCCUUCGGGUUGUAAACUGCUUUUGUACGGAACGAAACGGCUCUGGUUAAUACCCGGGGCUAAUGACGGUACCGUAAGAAUAAGCACCGGCUAACUACGUG
rnacentral:rRNA from 1 species